AGAAGAGGCAGAUGCAUUGAAGCUCUGAUUCCCUUUGAAGUUUGCUUCUACUUCUCUCUUGCCAACAAGAUUCAUCAUGAAACAAAAUUCUGUUCUUCAGAGGAAUAUAUUAUCAAGCUUGCAUCUUUAAGAAAUGAAGUACCAUCUCUUUCACAAUACAAUGUAGUACACUAAAUAUCCUGGAGGAUAAAUGAUUUGUCACAGGUCAUAAAGCUGAUUAUUUGAAGAGUCUGGUAUUUCUAUUUUUCUAAGAAAAUGUGUCAAAUGAAUCACCCAUAAUAUACUGAAGAGUAUAUAAGAGUUCAACAUAAUACAUGCUUUCUACCCUUUGGAGGAUUGCAAUCUAAUUUGCAAGAUAAGAUACUGGUACAAGAACUAAUUUUUAAAGAUGUGUUAUAUCAUGUAAUAUACAUUUAUGAUUUAGAAUUAAG
rnacentral:lncRNA from 1 species